UUCGUUGUGUGUCGGUCCGUCUGUCUGCGCGGCUUCGAACGAGCGAGACGCAAGUGGUCUACACCCACGCACGAGACGACGACAAAAAGCGUGGCCGUGGUCAUCUGCGGUGGAAAAGAACCAAACAGACACGAAACGAAAAAAAAAAACAGAAAAUCUGUAAACGCAGACGCGAGCACCCAGCGCCCACCCCCCUCCGCUCCGCUGCCGUUGCCAGCAGACCGAAAGGAAGGAAGGAUAUACACACACACACACACACACACACACACACACACGCAAAGAAAGAAAAGAGGCAAACGCGAAAAGGAAAGCAAUGACCAGCCGGUACGAGCGGCAGGAGAAGAUCGGCGAGGGCACCUACGGCGUGGUGUACAAGGCCCGAGACACGUCCACUGCCGCGACGGUCGCGUUGAAGCGCAUUCGGCUUGACUCGGAGGAGGAGGGCGUUCCGUGCACCGCCAUUCGCGAGAUUUCGCUGCUGAAGGAGCUGCGACAUGAGAACAUCGUGAAGCUGCUGGACGUGUGUCACAGCGAGCACCGUCUGACGAUCGUCUUCGAGUAUUUAGACCUAGACUUGAAGAAGUAUCUCGACCGCGAGAACGGCAACCUCGAUGCGGCAACGGUUCAGCACUUUAUGCGCGACCUGCUGCGCGGCGUCGCCUUCUGCCACCAGCGCAGUGUCCUGCAUCGCGACCUGAAGCCGCAGAAUCUUCUCAUCUCGCGCGAGAAGGAGCUGAAGCUAGGCGACUUCGGUCUCGGUCGUUCCUUCGCCAUCCCAGUGCGCAAAUUCACGAACGAGGUGGUGACGCUGUGGUACCGACCGCCCGACGUUCUGCUCGGCUCGAUGCAGUACGGUCCGCCGGUGGACGUGUGGUCCGUGGGGUGCAUCUUCUCCGAGAUGGCCACCGGGACGCCGCUCUUCGCCGGGAAGAACGAUGCCGACCAGCUCAUGCGGAUCUUCCGCUUCCUAGGCACACCGAACAACCGGGUUUGGCCGUCCAUGAACCAGUACCCGAACUCGAAUAACAUGCUGUCGCAGCCGGAGUUUUUGCAGAACUUCGAGCCGGAAUGGAGCAACGUGCUCGGCUCCGUGCCCGGGUACGAGAAGCUUGGCUGCGCUGGUGUCGAUCUGCUAGAAAAGUUGCUACGCUACGAGCCGUCGGAGCGCAUUACGGCGGCAGACGCGUUGAACCACCCGUACUUUAGCCUCCAGUUUUAGCCACUCCAAUAACGCAACAUUCCCUUUCUGCGUCCCCUCCGUGUGCCGGCAGAAACGAAGAAUUCGGGGGAGGCCUGUGUGGCAUAUACAUAUCCUGCUCGUUGCCAUGCAGAGGUGAGGUGCUGGUGUCCUUGGUUGGUGGCCUUCACGCUUGGCUUUUUUUUGUCUGUCCAGAGGGCGUGCCCUCGUCUCGACGCGUAUGGAUAAGCGUCUGCGUCUUGACUGAGGCGGCCGUGGUGGUGGUGUGUGGGGGGAUGUCCUACCGUUUUCAACCCUUGCUGUCCCUCUCUCGUUCUGUUGCCCCCUCCUCUCUCCUCCGCCUCCUUCGUUGCUUUCCUGUUUCGGUUGUCUCCUUGUCAUGCACUCGGCCGCGUGCGUUUUCUCCUGUUUUGUUGUUGUUUUCGAGUGCCGUUCUGUUCCCGUUGAUGUCGAUCCUGUGCAUGUGCGUGUGCGCGUGUGUGUUUUAUAUCUCUUCUUCCGGGUGUGGCUCUUCUCGGGGUUGAUGCUGUUGGUCUGGCGAUAAUGCCCCCCUUCCUCUCUCCUCCCCUCCCCCCUCUUCGGCCGCUCUCUUCUCCUCCUCCUCUCUCUACACGGUUGUUCACGUUAAUAUGUUUCCUUCCUUUUUUCCUUCCUUUUUGUCUUCUCUCCGGAUCAUGCUGAAUUCGUCGUUUCGCGCAUGCCCGUGUUGCCCCCUCCCCAGGCGUGCGUGUGCUUCCAUGAAUAGCGGUGAGUGAUGACGCCCCGCCCCGCCCCGCCCCCUCCCCCGCCACCGCCCGUACACGCGCACCACCAACCUGCACACGGCUGCGCGCGCGACCGACCCCCGCGGCCGGACUCUUGCAAAGACCGCCGGGCCCAACGAGAGCGUCUUCGCUUCACCUCCUCAUUCCCAGGGAGGGGCGAGGGAGAGAGGAAAAGCGAGCGAAGAAAACGAAAAAAAAACUGUUUCAUUCAGCGGUGCUCACCCAGACGUACUCAU
rnacentral:misc_RNA from 1 species